UACGUAGGGCGCAAGCGUUGUCCGGAAUUAUUGGGCGUAAAGAGCUCGUAGGCGGUUUGUUGCGUCGGCUGUGAAAUCCCGAGGCUCAACCUCGGGUCUGCAGUCGAUACGAGCAAACUAGAGUGUUGCAGGGGAGACUGGAAUUCCUGGUGUAGCGGUGAAAUGCGCAGAUAUCAGGAGGAACACCGGUGGCGAAGGCGGCCAUCUGGACGACAACUGACGCUGAGAAUGC
rnacentral:rRNA from 1 species